rnacentral:rRNA from 1 species
UUUAAGAAAAUUUUUAAAAUUUGGUUUAGUUGAACUGGAUUAGUACCCAGGUAAUCAAAAUUAAUUAAUUCGGGAGUAAAGUUUUGUUUAAACCGAAAAAAUAUUGACUGACUCUGGAUUUCUUUUUGGAAUAUGUGUAUGGAGAGCCCUCUUUUAUAGUAAAUCUUUUUUUGCACAUGUAUGAUUGUUUAGUUUUUAUUUUAUUUUGUAAUGCUUUAUUUUUAGAUUAAAAACAGAUAUAUAUUUGGCUUAUGGGUUUAUUAAUC